CCGACGGGUGAGUAACACGUAUCCAACCUGCCGUCUACUCUUGGACAGCCUUCUGAAAGGAAGAUUAAUACAAGAUGGCAUCAUGAGUCCACAUGUUCACAUGAUUAAAGGUAUUCCGGUAGACGAUGGGGAUGCGUUCCAUUAGAUAGUAGGCGGGGUAACGGCCCACCUAGUCUUCGAUGGAUAGGGGUUCUGAGAGGAAGGUCCCCCACAUUGGAACUGAGACACGGUCCAA
rnacentral:rRNA from 1 species